CGGAAAAUCAAGGCUGAGGCGUGAUGACGAGGCACUGCGGUGCUGAAGCAACAAAUGCCCUGCUUCCAGGAAAAGCCUCUAAGCAUCAGGUAACAUCAAAUCGUACCCCAAACCGACACAGGUGGUCAGGUAGAGAAUACCAAGGCGCUUGAGAGAACUCGGGUGAAGGAACUAGGCAAAAUGGUGCCGUAACUUCGGGAGAAGGCACGCUGAUAUGUAGGUGAAGUCCCUCGCGGAUGGAGCUGAAAUCAGUCGAAGAUACCAGCUGGCUGCAACUGUUUAUUAAAAACACAGCACUGUGCAAACACGAAAGUGGACGUAUACGGUGUGACGCCUGCCCGGUGCCGGAAGGUUAAUUGAUGGGGUUAGCGCAAGCGAAGCUCUUGAUCGAAGCCCCGGUAAACGGCGGCCGUAACUAUAACGGUCCUAAGGUAGCGAAAUUCCUUGUCGGGUAAGUUCCGACCUGCACGAAUGGCGUAAUGAUGGCCAGGCUGUCUCCACCCGAGACUCAGUGAAAUUGAACUCGCUGUGAAGAUGCAGUGUACCCGCGGCAAGACGGAAAGACCCCGUGAACCUUUACUAUAGCUUGACACUGAACAUUGAGCCUUGAUGUGUAGGAUAGGUGGGAGGCUUUGAAGUGUGGACGCCAGUCUGCAUGGAGCCGACCUUGAAAUACCACCCUUUAAUGUUUGAUGUUCUAACGUUGACCCGUAAUCCGGGUUGCGGACAGUGUCUGGUGGGUAGUUUGACUGGGGCGGUCUCCUCCUAAAGAGUAACGGAGGAGCACGAAGGUUGGCUAAUCCUGGUCGGACAUCAGGAGGUUAGUGCAAUGGCAUAAGCCAGCUUGACUGCGAGCGUGACGGCGCGAGCAGGUGCGAAAGCAGGUCAUAGUGAUCCGGUGGUUCUGAAUGGAAGGGCCAUCGCUCAACGGAUAAAAGGUACUCCGGGGAUAACAGGCUGAUACCGCCCAAGAGUUCAUAUCGACGGCGGUGUUUGGCACCUCGAUGUCGGCUCAUCACAUCCUGGGGCUGAAGUAGGUCCCAAGGGUAUGGCUGUUCGCCAUUUAAAGUGGUACGCGAGCUGGGUUUAGAACGUCGUGAGACAGUUCGGUCCCUAUCUGCCGUGGGCGCUGGAGAACUGAGGGGGGCUGCUCCUAGUACGAGAGGACCGGAGUGGACGCAUCACUGGUGUUCGGGUUGUCAUGCCAAUGGCACUGCCCGGUAGCUAAAUGCGGAAGAGAUAAGUGCUGAAAGCAUCUAAGCACGAAACUUGCC
rnacentral:rRNA from 1 species